UACAGAGGUCUCAAGCGUUGUUCGGAUUCAUUGGGCGUAAAGGGUGCGUAGGCGGCGCGGUAAGUCGGGUGUGAAAUCUCGGGGCUUAACUCCGAAACUGCAUUCGAUACUGCCGUGCUUGAGGACUGGAGAGGAGACUGGAAUUUACGGUGUAGCGGUGAAAUGCGCAGAUAUCGGGAGGAACACCAAUUGCGAAGGCAGCUCGCUGGGACGUGACUGACGCUGAGACGCGAAAGCGUGGGGAGCAAACAGG
rnacentral:rRNA from 1 species